AAGUCGUAACAAGGUUUCCGUAGGUGAACCUGCGGAAGGAUCAUUACUAAAUGUUUUCCAACCUCAACGUAUGUGAACUGUUAUCAAUGUCAUGGCGAGAUACGCCUAGUGUUGCCCUUGGGCGGCCUAGACGCCUCGCCGUGUUUUGUCUACGUAUAUCUAUUCUUAGCUCUGAGACUUUAAUUUUAAAUUAAAGACAACUUUUAGCAACGGAUCUCUUGGCUCUCGC
rnacentral:misc_RNA from 1 species